rnacentral:rRNA from 1 species
AACGAACGCUGGCGGCAUGCCUAACACAUGCAAGUCGAACGAGACCUUCGGGUCUAGUGGCGCACGGGUGCGUAACGCGUGGGAAUCUGCCCUUAGGUUCGGAAUAACAGUUAGAAAUGACUGCUAAUACCGGAUAAUGACUUCGGUCCAAAGAUUUAUCGCCUAAGGAUGAGCCCGCGUAGGAUUAGCUAGUUGGUGAGGUAAAGGCUCACCAAGGCUACGAUCCUUAGCUGGUCUGAGAGGAUGAUCAGCCACACUGGGACUGAGACACGGCCCAGACUCCUACGGGAGGCAGCAGUGGGGAAUAUUGGACAAUGGGCGAAAGCCUGAUCCAGCAAUGCCGCGUGAGUGAUGAAGGCCUUAGGGUUGUAAAGCUCUUUUACCCGGGAUGAUAAUGACAGUACCGGGAGAAUAAGCUCCGGCUAACUCCGUGCCAGCCGCCG